GGGUCUUCCUUGUGGUGUGGACUGGAGGGAGCAGCUGGGAGGAAAGACCCUGAGGCACAACCCCACGGCGUGGCAUAUUCUGGGCGAUCCUGCAAUUAAAAUCCCUGUGCUGCAGCAUCGCCGAAAAUGGGAUUCGCAUAAUUUGAAAUUUGAGGAAAAUCUCUAAAUACUUUAAUUUUGAUAGAAACUAUUUCCACUGCUGACAUGUGUCUACACCUAUAAUUUCAGCUGAUAAAUUGCUGUAAUUUCUCCUCCAUUUCAUGUUCUUUCGAACAUUAAUUGUCAGUUGCAGGGAAGGAACUUCUAAAGUAAAAGCUGGCAAGACUCAGCAGAAAAUAAAUAUCAAAAGCUGCUUCUGCCGCCCCAGCUUCACUCAGGCCCUGGCCACUCCUUCACCGGUCUACACUGCUGCGUCCUAGAACCACCGGGUCUGCAACCAGCCGUGAGGCGUGAUGCUCACUCGGAAGCUCCCAGAACCUGGAGGCUGCCUUCACUCAACACGUGAACAAGCAAGGGGCCAGGUUCAAUUAAACACCUGCCCGCCCAGAGCACCAGGCCCAAAAGCAAGCAAACAACAAACAAAAUCAAAUCAGGCCUUCACAACUCCCCAAAUCAUGUGUAAGUUUCUACACAGCAGAAGCCAAAAAUAUAUGUUAUUUAACUGGGUCCUAUUUACAUAUAUUUUUUAUGGCUGCUCUAAAAAAUUAUCACAAACAUAGUGGCUUCACCCCAUUUCCCCUGAUGUGAUUAUUACACAUUGGAUGCCUAUAUCAAAAUAUCUCAUGGACCCCAUAAAUAGCUACACCCUCUAUGUACUCAUGACACUUUUUUAUAAAGAGAACACUUA